rnacentral:rRNA from 1 species
UGAGGAAUAUUGGUCAAUGGGCGGGAGCCUGAACCAGCCAAGCCGCGUGAGGGAAGAAGGCCCUAUGGGUCGUAAACCUCUUUUGUCAGGGAACAAAAGCGAGUAUGUAUACUAGUCUGAGUGUACCUGAAGAAAAAGCAUCGGCUAACUCCGUGCCAGCAGCCGCGGUAAUACGGAGGAUGCGAGCGUUAUCCGGAUUUAUUGGAUUUAAAGGGUGCGUAGGCGGCGAUGCAAGUCAGCGGUAAAAGCCCGGGGCUCAACCCCGACGAGCCGUUGAAACUGCAGUGCUAGAGAAGGCGAGAGGUACGCGGAAUGCGCAGUGUAGCGGUGAAAUGCUUAGAUAUUGCGCAGAACUCCGAUUGCGAAGGCAGCGUACUGGCGCCUGACUGACGCUGAGGCACGAAAGCGUGGGGAUCGAACAGGAUUAGAUACC